GGCAGCACAGCCCCGACUGGACAAGGCCCAGGCGGAAGCUCUGACCGCUGCUGGCUGUUGACAAAUGACUGACAGCUCUGUACACAGCUGCCCCGGCUGCUUUGUUAGCAUUAGCCCUGUCUCACUAGAAGUUAAUAUGCGGUUUCCCUCGCCUCAGGCCGUGCUGAUGAACAGAGAUGUUCAUCAGAUGGUGAUGAACAGAGAAGGGAGAAAAUCGUUGGAACCUCUACUAAGGAAAAGGCACCAACACGCAGCAGUGCAUCGAGGACCAAAUCCAGUGACUACCCCAAGCACGGAGUACCUAGUGCGUGGGAGUGGACAGGCAUGUGGCCACCCUGUCCGUAUCUUAAAGGAGAAACACGCAGUGCUUCUUGAUGCCCUCUUAACGGAUUACAGAAAUUCCUUUGAAUCCUGCUUAGCUGAUAUUUAUAUUGCAAAGGGAUGUUGAACUUUGUAAAAUAUUUUUCCUGUCUAUUGAAAUAAUCACAAAUUUUUUUCUUUGUUAAUCUUUUGUUCUGAUACAUUAUGUUUUUAGAUGUUAAAUCAGCUUUCCAUUCUUGGGAUACACAUCACUUGUUGAAGAUACA
rnacentral:lncRNA from 1 species